GAUGAACGCUGGCGGCGUGCCUAAUACAUGCAAGUCGAGCGAACGGACGAGAAGCUUGCUUCUCUGAUGUUAGCGGCGGACGGGUGAGUAACACGUGGAUAACCUACCUAUAAGACUGGGAUAACUUCGGGAAACCGUAGCUAAUACCGGAUAAUAUUUUGAACCGCAUGGUUCAAAAGUGAAAGACGGUCUUGCUGUCACUUAUAGAUGGAUCCGCGCUGCAUUAGCUAGUUGGUAAGGUAACGGCUUACCAAGGCAACGACGCAUAGCCGACCUGAGAGGGUGAUCGGCCACACUGGAACUGAGACACGGUCCAGACUCCUACGGGAGGCAGCAGUAGGGAAUCUUCCGCAAUGGGCGAAAGCCUGACGGAGCAACGCCGCGUGAGUGAUGAAGGUCUUCGGAUCGUAAAACUCUGUUAUUAGGGAAGAACAUAUGUGUAAGUAACUGUGCACAUCUUGACGGUACCUAAUCAGAAAGCCACGGCUAACUACGUGCCAGCAGCCGCGGUAAUACGUAGGUGGCAAGCGUUAUCCGGAAUUAUUGGGCGUAAAGCGCGCGUAGGCGGUUUUUUAAGUCUGAUGUGAAAGCCCACGGCUCAACCGUGGAGGGUCAUUGGAAACUGGAAAACUUGAGUGCAGAAGAGGAAAGUGGAAUUCCAUGUGUAGCGGUGAAAUGCGCAGAGAUAUGGAGGAACACCAGUGGCGAAGGCGACUUUCUGGUCUGUAACUGACGCUGAUGUGCGAAAGCGUGGGGAUCAAACAGGAUUAGAUACCCUGGUAGUCCACGCCGUAAACGAUGAGUGCUAAGUGUUAGGGGGUUUCCGCCCCUUAGUGCUGCAGCUAACGCAUUAAGCACUCCGCCUGGGGAGUACGACCGCAAGGUUGAAACUCAAAGGAAUUGACGGGGACCCGCACAAGCGGUGGAGCAUGUGGUUUAAUUCGAAGCAACGCGAAGAACCUUACCAAAUCUUGACAUCCUUUGACAACUCUAGAGAUAGAGCCUUCCCCUUCGGGGGACAAAGUGACAGGUGGUGCAUGGUUGUCGUCAGCUCGUGUCGUGAGAUGUUGGGUUAAGUCCCGCAACGAGCGCAACCCUUAAGCUUAGUUGCCAUCAUUAAGUUGGGCACUCUAAGUUGACUGCCGGUGACAAACCGGAGGAAGGUGGGGAUGACGUCAAAUCAUCAUGCCCCUUAUGAUUUGGGCUACACACGUGCUACAAUGGACAAUACAAAGGGCAGCGAAACCGCGAGGUCAAGCAAAUCCCAUAAAGUUGUUCUCAGUUCGGAUUGUAGUCUGCAACUCGACUACAUGAAGCUGGAAUCGCUAGUAAUCGUAGAUCAGCAUGCUACGGUGAAUACGUUCCCGGGUCU
rnacentral:rRNA from 1 species